CAGAAAAAUGGAGGUGAGAUCACAACAAGGUCAGCCACAAUUUUACCGAAUUGUGCAGAAGGCUCAAAGGAACACAUCUCUAUCCUGCUCCCAUGUUCUUAUCUGAGAUGGGCAGCAUAAACACAGGAAUGGCCAGCCUCUGUAUGGAUGGCCACUAUCAUGAAUCUCAAUGUCUUCAAACUCUGAAUUUUGUGGGUACUGUGUGGCAAGGGCAAAAAAUAACUUCAGGAAUUGGAUGGAGUAACUGCUCCCAGCAAUGGGAACAGUUUCACUUGUCACAAGUUGAACGACAUUAAUCCUUUGUGUGGGAGCAGGCCUACUGGUCCAUCGAGUCCUCACUGGCCCGGUGAAGAGCAUCCCACCUGAUCCCUGAAACCCUGCAUAUCUAACCUGUGCUCACCUGGACACCGUGGGCAAUUUAUCACAGCCAAUCCACCUAACUUGCACAUCUUUAGACUGUGAGGAAACCCACGCA